AAGAAAGUCAGUUGGCAAGUGGAAAUCACCGGAAAAACUACACAGCGCGGCAGUAGGAAAAUCGUGAAAAUCGCAGAAGCUUACACCGCAGACGGGAAAUAAAAAAAGCCAAAAAGCAGCCGCGAAAGGCAGCGCAUUCGACGUUGGCAGCGCCGUGGGCUGAUAACAAUAGGUAAUAACAAUAACAAAGCGGAAUAAAAACAAAAGAGCGAAGCACAUGAAAAGAUAAUAAGUAAGAACCGAAACAAACAAAAAAUCGCGCGUUUAAUUAACGGACAUACGACGUGAGCAGCGCGGUCGACGCCGCAGUCGCAGUUGGCGUCGCAGUCGCCGUCGCGCAUUGGUGUGUGUUUGUGUGAGUGUGUUCGUGUGAGUAUCUGUGUGAGCUGGAGAUAUAAAACUGCAAUUGAUUGCAAUUUCGGCGGCAUUUGCAAAAUAGCAAGCCGGCGAAGAACACAAAACCGAGAAAUCGAGAGAUAAGCAAACAAAAUAUACAAACAAAUACAAAAAAAUAAUAAUAAACUCAAACUCAAAAACACAACAAAUAUAAAAACAGCACAACAAAAACACAGCCAAACGGUUCGUCGAAUCAAGCGGAUCUCUCCAGCCAAAAUAAUCAGCAAUCUGAUGUAGCAAAAGCCUAUAUAUAAUAUACGAAAAUGCAACCAUUCCGUUCCGCGCCGUGCUAAUGCAAACGUAUACGAUCCGAAACCGAUAAAUAUAGAAAUACAAUAAACCCAAGUGAAAUUGCAAAUUUACAGGCCAAUAAAAACAAAAUAUACCAAUAACACUGCCCAAGUGAACAUCAAAGGAAAUAAUUUUGGAGACAUUUGCUGGAAAGCCUUUAAGCCACCUAAAAACAGGAACAACGGUACUUCUUCAUCGAUUUUACAUCUGAUCCAGCCUGACUUUUGUCUAAUUUAUUGAGUGCAGCCGCCGAACAAGCAAGCCAACCGAUGACGCUAACAAGGCAAGAACAACAACAACAACGGUUCGGAAGAAUGAUCAU